rnacentral:rRNA from 1 species
UACGGAGGAUGCAAGCGUUAUCCGGAAUGAUUGGGCGUAAAGCGUCCGCAGGUGGCUAUGUAAGUCUGCUGUUAAAGAGUCUAGCUCAACUAGAUAAGAGCAGUGGAAACUACAUGGCUAGAGUGCGUUCGGGGCAGAGGGAAUUCCUGGUGUAGCGGUGAAAUGCGUAGAGAUCAGGAAGAACACCGGUGGCGAAGGCGCUCUGCUAGGCCGCAACUGACACUGAGGGACGAAAGCUAGGGGAGCGAAU